rnacentral:rRNA from 1 species
UACGUAGGGGGCGAGCGUUGUCCGGAUUCAUUGGGCGUAAAGAGCUCGUAGGCGGCUUGGCAAGUCGGGUGUGAAAACUUCAGGCUCAACCUGGAGCGGCCACUCGAUACUGCCAUGGCUUGAGUCCGGUAGGGGACCACGGAAUUCCUGGUGUAGCGGUGAAAUGCGCAGAUAUCAGGAAGAACACCAAUGGCGAAAGCAGCUUUCUGGGACGGUACUGACGCUGAGACGCGAAAGCGUGGGGAGCGAACAGG